AUUGAACGCUAGCGGCAGGCCUUACACAUGCAAGUCGAGCGAGCGGCGGACGGGUGAGUAAUGUAUGGGGACUGCCCGAUAGCGGGGGAUAACUACUCGAAACGGUGGCUAAUACCGCAUACUAUUGGAUAACCCAUAUGUGAUUAGCUAGUAGGUGGGGUAAAGGCUCACCUAGGCGACGAUCCCUAGCUGGUCUGAGAGGAUGAGCAGCCACACGGGGACUGAGACACGGCCCAGACGCCGACGGAGGCAGCAGUGGGGAAUAUUGCACAAUGGGCGCAAGCCUGAUGCAGCCAUGCCGCGUGUAUGAAGAAGGCCUUAGGGUUGUAAAGUACUUUCAGCGGGGAGGCGUUACCCGCAGAAGAAGCACCGGCUAACUACGUGCCAGCAGCCGCGGUAAUAC
rnacentral:rRNA from 1 species